CUUUGAGACCCUCUCUUGGGUGGGGGUGGAGGAUGAGUGUAUCCUUCACUGCCUCAGAUCCCCAACCUCUCCCUGGUACUCCUUAGCAUCAUUCUAACAGAGGUCAUGUCAUUCAGUCCUCUUCCUCGCUCCAGCCUAGGCACACAUAACAGUCGUGCUGGAGAAGACCUGGUGGCUUAGCUCGUCCAAAUUCUGUCUUUCUAUCCAGUUUCCUGAUGGUUCAAUGAAGGGUACUUGUUAAGGGAUACAAGGUGAUUAGUGUUUGUGUUGGCACUGGAACCCAGAUGUGC
rnacentral:lncRNA from 1 species